CAUGUGCUAGCCAAAGACCACGACUUACGAGUUAGAAGUUGUAACCAACAAAACAUAAUCCUCUAGCCGUCCAGUGAAUUAAACGUGUACGGUUCAGAUACGUCUUAAUGGUUGAAGAUCAACGGCCACAAUUGCUGUAUCCCUCCUUUCAAAAGCCGAUUUCGACGCUCGCCGAUCCUCAUCCCCGCUCAAACCAGAUCUCUUCUCUGAUCUCUCCAAGUCUCUUCCUGCUCUCGCGAAAAAGGGUUAAAUACAAAUGGCUGAGGCAAAACCAGGAAUGAGGAAACCAGUUUUCACCAAGGUUGAUCAGCUGCGGCCGGGCACCAGUGGACACACUCUCACAGUGAAGGUUGUUAGUUCAAAGAUGGUAUUGCAGAAAGGUCGCCCUGAUGGACCCCAAGUACGCCAAAUGCGAAUUGCUGAAUGCUUGGUUGGAGAUGAAACUGGAAUGAUUGUAUUUACAGCCAGGAAUGAUCAAGUGGACCUGAUGAAGCCUGAUACUACAGUAAUCUUGCGCAAUGCUAAAAUCGACAUGUUCAAGGGAUCAAUGAGGCUUGCGGUGGACAAGUGGGGUCGUGUAGAAGUGACUGAACCGGCCAGCUUCACCGUCAAAGAAGACAACAACCUGUCACUGGUAGAGUAUGAAUUAGUUAAUGUUGUUGAAGAGUGACCUGUGGGACAGCAGGCAGUCUCUCAUUAGGGGGACAAAAUUGAAUCAAGGGGGAGAGAUAUGAUUUUGUGGCUUAUGAAAAUGGAGAAGUGGUAUUUUAUGUUAUUUCCUGGUCAUCUUGUGUGCACGAUGCCUGAGGAAAAUUCAUGUUUAGGAAGGAGCUAUUACUACAAAAGGAAGUCUGGUUGUACCUUGCAGGCAAUUGAGGCAGCUGGAGGAGCCAUUUAGGCCUCGGGUGCAGCUAGUAAUUAGAGUCUGGAUAACAAAAAAAAAAAAAAAAGGAACUUGCUUUGGUUAUUUCUUUUAAUGUUAUGACGUGAAUUGCUCCUGUUAUGAGAUAUUAUUAUCAAUGAAUAUUAUGCAAGUUGAGUUGCCCCUAA